GGGCCCGCACAAGCGGUGGAGCAUGUGGUUUAAUUCGAUGCAACGCGAAGAACCUUACCAGGGCUUGACAUACUACGAAUUUUCUUGAAAAAGAAAAGUGCCUUCGGGAAUGUAGAUACAGGUGGUGCAUGGCUGUCGUCAGCUCGUGUCGUGAGAUGUUGGGUUAAGUCCCGCAACGAGCGCAACCCUUGUCCUUAGUUACCAGCACUUCGGGUGGGAACUCUAAGGAUACUGCCAGUGACAAACUGGAGGAAGGCGGGGACGACGUCAAGUCAUCAUGGCCCUUACGACCAGGGCUACACACGUGCUACAAUGGUAGGUACAGAGGGCAGCUACACAGCGAUGUGAUGCGAAUCUCAAAAAGCCUAUCGUAGUCCAGAUUGGAGUCUGCAACUCGACUCCAUGAAGUAGGAAUCGCUAGUAAUCG
rnacentral:rRNA from 1 species